AUCACGAGACCCCCACGCUGCUUUGUGAUUGGCCGAAACCCGAGCUCAGGAGUCCCGAGCUCAGGAGUCUCGCGCUCACCCGGGGUCGGCUUGUUAAUUUCUGUUCAGAAACUCACUGCGGCCAUCCUCUACUUCUAGCCUUAUUUAUUGUACUACUAUUUACUCAUUCAAUCUGUGCGAUGGAUAUUUCUUGCUCGGCAAGGCGGAAUUUCAACAAACAUAAAAUUCCAAUAAAAAGUUAAAAUUAAAAUCUACUCGCCUUCCUACAAUUCCAAGAAACCAUCUCGCCGACCGCUUUCUGUAGAUUAUAAAUAACCAGAUAUAAAGUAGCUAAUGAAGACGUAGUUGUGUUAAACUGGGUGUUGUGCAGAAACAGUCCGAUAAGAAUGUACUUUCAAAUGCAGUCUCUAUUCAUUCAGACAAUGUGUGUCGGGGACCUUUUCCUUUGGUCUAUUGUGUGUAAAAUAUGGCAACAACAUAUUGCAAGACGACUUAAUUUCAGCGAGUGGUAUGAAACCAGCCUGGAAUUCCUGUGUCAUUUGAGGUCAUUGUAGGAAGUCAGCAACAGCCUCUAUCUCUCUCUCAAACGGAAUCUGUUUAUUUCCACAUCACACAGGUUCAAUCCUACAUCUGUUUAUGCAGGGAUUAUUUGUUCUCAGAAAGAUCAUUAAAAGUAAAUCGACCCUCCCCACCCCAACAAAAAAUAAUGACUGCUUCAACGAAGAAUUUCCUGGCAUUCUGCUCUGUGGAACGAGGUUAUUCAUUAUUUCAAAUUAAGAGAGGAAUUUGACCGUUGCGAGGAUUGUUGCUAGCAAUUGUAUUAUUUAAAAUGUGGGGAUUUAACCUCUUAAGGUGUGUUUAUAUUUAGUUUCCAAACAGACAGCUGAAAAGAUGCAUAACGUAGUCCUGUAAUCAACUGAAAUAAAAUCCAGUGUACAUUAAUAAAAACCUGUGUGUCUCA